rnacentral:rRNA from 1 species
AAGAGUGAACUAGCUAACUGAAAUCUUAAAAUCAUUUAACAAUGGUAUUUAAGAUAACGUAAGGGAAAAAAAUGAUAGUACCUUACUAUAAGUGUUGUCCAACAUUACUGGUGCCAGAAGACUCGGUAACGCCAGAAACGCAAACGUUAGUCGUCCUAAACAGGCGUAAAGGGUAAGUAGGCUGCUUUGAAAGUUAUUAAUUAGAAAGCUCUUUAAAUAUAAAGUAAUUAAUAAUGAAUUAAAGCUAGAAUCAAACAGAGGAUAAUGAAUAUAAUGAUUUGAGUAAGGCUGAUAUCUUUAGAUACUUUUCGGAAUACUUAAGGUGAAAACUUUUAUCUACUAUUGAUUGACGCUGAGGAACGAAGGUGAGAAUAGAAAACAGGAUUAGAGACCCAGGUAUCUCUCACUGUCAACGAUGAAUGGUGGUUGUUAGUUUAAAAUAAAC